GCACUAAUGCACCGGAUCCCAUC
rnacentral:snRNA from 1 species